rnacentral:rRNA from 1 species
CACGUAGGGGACGAGCGUUGUCCGGAUUCAUUGGGCGUAAAGCGCGCGUAGGCGGCUCGGAAAGUCGGGCGUGAAAUCCCCGGGCUUAACCUGGGAACUGCGUUUGAAACUGGAAGGCUAGAGUGUGGCAGAGGGGGGUGGAAUUCCACGUGUAGCAGUGAAAUGCGUAGAUAUGUGGAGGAACACCGAUGGCGAAGGCAGCCCCCUGGGCUAACACUGACGCUCAUGCACGAAAGCGUGGGGAGCAAACAGG